UAUUCAGCUGUCUGAUUUCCUCUGUCUCCACAGCAGCUAUCCCAAAAGCCUUUUGUGUCCUUGAAAUACCCUCUCCUGGGAGUAUAUGCCAAGGAUACACGGGGCCUCUGGGCCUGUUGCAAGGGGUCUUUCUGCCAUUUGUUCCUGGUCAGGCUCACUUUAGCUGCCAGAACAGUCAGCUGCUGGGAUCCCCCUGUCAGCCCAGAAAUAGAGAUGGAUUCUGCCCCUACAUAUCUUGAUGGCAUCAGGGUACAUUGUGCUCUGGUGUAAACUAAAGCCUUAUACUCCUGUGGGUCUGAUGUGCCAUCAGAUCCACACAGUCCAAAAAUCCACUCAUGACUACCCACCCUUUCUAAGAGCCUCUGCUGUUUGGGGCUGGAAAGGAGAUUUCUGUGUACAAAACCAGCUCCAAGCACUUUACAGCCCCCAAAAGCAUUGCUGGGGUGAAGGGCUCUGUGUGUGGAGCUCUUUCCAGGACAGCAGCAAGGUAGGGGCUGUCCCCACCUCUCAGGCUGCACAUGGACUUCCCAGCACCUUUAGGUGGUUACAGCCAGAGCUGGUCACUGGAAAUUUGGGCACCAGUAGUGCAGACAUCCAGCACUUUUCCCCUGCUCAGCCUGCUCGCUUGGUCCCAUCCUUCAAACCACUGGGAGCUGACAGAGCUGUAGCCUCACUCUCUGGGAAGUGAAGGGGUGACUGACCAGGCAGAGGUGUUGAGCAGGGUGACCCCCCUCUGUACUGCCUGACAGCUGUACCCAGGUGGAGGUGUUGAGCCAUGUGACCCCCCUUGGUACCUCCUGUAGCCGUGCUAGUGGCCCUUCAUCUGCCUGCACAGCAUCAGUUCUCCUCGAAUGGGCCACUUGGCUGUGUGUGCAGCUCUUAGCCUGCUGUUUGAAAAUGUUGGUCCCCUGGCAAUUUAGCAGCAGUUAAACAUGUGAGUGUUUAGAACUCCAGUUCACAGCCUGCUGCUGCAGGCAUCUCCUGCCCCCGCCAUCCGAGCAGUUGAGCAAAGGACUUAAAAUCUGCCAGGAAACAGGCGUCUGAGACACAGAGUCGCCUUCGCAGUUGGCAUGUUUUCAGGAUGAUAAAAGCUUUCACGCCUUUUUUUUUUCUUUCUUUCUUUUUUAAGAUAGCAGAGUGGGAAAAAAAUAGCUUCCAAGCUGUAAGGAGUAGUUCUGCCAGAGGGGAGGGCGGGGGCCCAACCCGGCAGCUCUAGGCUUGGCAAGAAGUGAGUAAGCAGCAAAUGCGCAACAACUCGGGACCGGAGAAAUUUGGGACUACUUUUCUGAGCUGCUUUGCUUCCUUGUUGGUGAUUUCGCCUUUGAAGGCUGUUCAGAGAACUGUGUCUGAAAGAAGGAGCCUGGGUAUCCUGUCCAUCUGGUGGUACCAGCAGAUAUUUUCAGCUGCACACAAAGUGGUGGGUGGAAGGGGAUUCUCCCUUUCCAGCAGCCAGUGGGUGGUGUCUUUGGUGUGCAGGUUGCAAAGGGAUAAUUUUUAAUAGCAGCUCUUACUCCUCCAACGUUUCUCCCCGGUACCAGCGAUGGCCCCUCGCGGUUGGUUCCUGCUGGAGCAGGGGUUGCAUCAGGGCAGCAGCACAGCUCAGAAAAGCACAGUGAGUCACACAGACCCGGUCCCAGCCCUUCAUCUAACCCAAGGAAGUCCCGAGUGCGAGCACAGAGCCUCCCUCCUCCUUCCUUCCGCUGGCUGGCUUGUCUGCCCCAGAAAGUUUUCCUUACAGACCUUGUACAAGCGAGCACCCCCAUCCUCUUGGCCUGUGGAGACUGUGACUUAUGCCAGGUAGAGAGCACUUCUGCUCACACUCUGGGUGAAGCCAUGAGCUGCAUUGUGCCCAUGGCUUUCUUUUUUGCCUAGAGCUAAGCAUGUGUGAUGGCUUUUUCCAGCAUAACCCCUGUCAACUCUGGCACUGAGGCACAUGCUGGUGCUGUGGGUACUGGUAGAGUGGAGCUGGCUGCCUCCAAGGCUGCCAGGGAAAGCUUGUGGAGGCUGGGGUCAGGCAGGAGAGCCUGGAUAGCUCCUGCUAGCUGCUGGCUGGGUGCAGUGGAGCUGGGAGGCUACCAUGGCUUCCUUGAGAUGACUCCCAGGUUCUCCUCUCCAUCAGCUGGCAGCAGGCCCUGGGUCAUGCCAUGGUCUGGUGCAACUCCAGCCCUCAGCUACACUUCUUACCCUGUACUUAAUGUGACAGUGGCAGCUGGUGAGGAGCAGUGGGACUGUUGGGAGCACUGGGUCUCUGCUGCAGUGUGGUUGCUCUCCUCAGCUCCCUGGCCAGGGCACACUGGCGCUGAUUCCCUUCCCAUGCAUGUCUUCACCACACCCAUGGGUCAGUGUGAGCUUUGAACCUCUGUGAGUCACUUGGGGGUGCGUCUGUAGGUUUGCUCUCUGGGGGGGAGGAGGUGUCUCCCAGCUCACGAAAAAGGACUUGCACUCCUCACCCUUCCCUAACUUCCCACAUCACCAGUCACACCCCAGCCCACAGGAACGUCUGCCUGGGACCCAGCUGGUCAUGACUCAGCCUGACCACGGCUGUCCUUGCAGCAGCCCAGGUCCUGGUCACCUCCCUGUGACCUGGAGUGCCUGUCUGGCUGUACCGUGUACGGGGCAGCUUCUCGGGGAGCGCGGUGACGUGUGGAGGUGGAGACCCCAGGCCACAAAGAAGCCGUAUUUUCUCCUUUGCAUAGUAGUGCUGAACUUCCCUCCUCCAUCCCUGCCCCUGCAUGCUCUGCCCAGGGCAGCUUGCCAGGGAGGUGGCUGCAGGUGCCAACAGGCACCGCGAUGAUGGUCCUCAACAGUCCCAGCACGGGCAGCGUGGCUGGUCCAGCACCCAGGGAGCUCCAGGGAGUUCAAACUCCAGUGACUCCUGCUCCUUCUGGCCCCAAAUGUGGCUGGCAGAGCAGAUACCUGGCACUUCUGACCUUCUGCCACUCCUGCAUGUUCCAGUAUGUGCAGUGAACCCUUUCCCUGUGUGGGGUUAUUUCCCCCCCCCCCCCGAAUGCCCUCUUCCCUGGCUGAUCUUUAUGUUUCCCACCCUUUAUGAAGCCACUUGCAUACUCGUACCUGUUUCUUUUGCCCUUUAUUUACAGCACAGGUACCUCUGAAACCAACCCAGGGUGGGUUCCUGCAGGAGCAGUCUCAGGGAACCUGAGUGCAGGAAACCUGCAUGCAAAUUCAAGCUGCGUGAUGGUUUUGGAAGCAGAUGAGGUUGGCACCAGCAGCUCCUUUCAUCCAGGUGUUGCACAAGAGAGGGCUCCACAGAAGGUCAGCUUGGUCUGUCUCUGUGCCAAGGCCUCAAAGCUGAGCAGUAACAGCCAAGCCUACACUGCAUUUCAUCUGCCAUGACCAGAACUUCCUUAGAUGCUCGUGGUUUAAAAAUUGGCCUUGUGUUGGUCACUGAGCAGGCUGGUUCAUGAUCUGUUGUUGGGCACUCCUGAGACUGUUCCCAGGGCAGUCCCUGCACUUUGGCUUCUGGUCCUGCCUGUCCACUGUGACCCAAGGGGGGCACUUUGCCAUGUGUGGCACCACACAGCCACGUGCCCACAGCCACCCAGCUGGCAAAGGGGGAGCCAGAGCCAGCUCCACCCUUCCUCCACCCUGUCCCACAGGUGGGAUGAGAAGACAGGAGCAUUGCUAAACUGCCUUGAAUCGUGUGCUGACCUUAGAAAUUCAUGUUACAGACCAUCUGCAAAGCAGUUAAAUCUUUGAUUAGGCAGCUGUGCUCCCCUGUUGUCCUCCAGCAGGCAGCCACCACCCCAGUGAGGCUGCCAUUGUCCUUCCAUGGGACAGCCAGCUUGCCAGUCUGCAAGGAAUGGGUUAAACAUCCUCCCUCCUUCUCUUUGCAGCAUGGCUUUGGAAGCAGGUUCCCUUGACUUGGCAGCUGCUCCACCGAGGAUCAUAUGGCAACAGCAGGGAGAAACUACCAAGCUUGGAUCUGCUGCCAGGGUUUUUCAGGGAUGCAGCUUCUGUGGGGUUGGUGGCUCAGAAUGGUGGAGGAGGUGAUGUGUCUGGCAGUGCAUCCACCACAUCCUCAGGUGAGGUCAAGGACUCAAAGUAGAUUUGAAUGAACUGGCGUCUUAGAUCCAAGAUGCGGCUCCAGCGUGGUGGGUGUGGGAUGGGAAUUCUAUAUUGCAAGAGCUGUGCACCAGGAUGGCAGGGCCAGCAGACAAUGAUAUGUUCAGAACCUGCCCUGAAGGCCAUUGGGAUACCAAAACAGGGAUGUGUCACUUUGGACUCUGCUCUGUAGGUCAGAGCUCACGGGCAGGAUGCCUGCAGAAGAUGCCAGUGUGUGGUGCAGAGGGCACAUGCAGACAGAGCCACUAAACAGCAGCAGGAGGUUCCAGCUGGUGGUUACGGGCAUGGCAGCAAGGCAAGAUUUCAAGACAAAAUUCCCUGAAAUCACAGGCAACACUUCUGGGAAGAGUGGGUCAUUUCUGAAAUCUGUGGCUCUGGCAAACCCACAGUCAUCUCAGCUCCUGAAACUCCCUGUCCCACAGGGAUGUCUGAUGUUGCACCAGCCUUGCUGGUGACACUGGCUGGCACAUCAGCCACGGCUGGGGAAUGCUGAGGGAGCACCACCAGCCUGUGCAGGAGCCUUAUGCUGGGCACAGCCCCACUCCCACCGGUGUUAAUUGAGCCCUGAGCCAUAUCCUGGGGUGUGGGGACUCUAAGCAGCAAGGCCAGUUUGCAAAUCAUGUUGCCCUGCGGUGAAAAAUCACUGAGUGUGGAAAUUGUGAAGCUGCUUUUGGCUUGUGGUGUUUUUGUGUGAGCGACGGCCUAGUAUUUCGAAUUUCCCAGGACUUUGCUGAAAAAGUCAUUGUUAAAAAGCCAUUCAUUUAUUAAAGUGAGUUUAC